UGUAAGCGUAUACCAAAGUUGUUGCAGUUAAAACGCUCGUAGUCGGAAUUUGGCAGUUCCGGAUGUGUGCACGUCGUGUGCGCACUUCGCGGGGAUUGCUUUUGUGGUCUUGCGUAGGAUGAGGCACUUUUAUUAGUGAACGUCCUCACGCAACCACUUUUUACUGUGAGAAAAUCAGAGUGCUCAAAGCAGGCAUUUGCCGUGAAUGUAUUAGCAUGGAAUAAUAGAAUAGGACUUGGUUCUAUUUUGUUGGUUUGCUGGGACUGAGUAAUGAUUAAGAGGGACAGUUGGGGGCAUUUGUAUUUCGGUGCUAGAGGUGAAAUUCUUAGAUUACCGAAAGACAAACUGCUGCGAAAGCGUCUGCCAAGGAUGUUUUCAUUGA
rnacentral:rRNA from 1 species